CGCAAGCCUGACGGAGCAAUACCGCGUGAGGGAGGAAGGUCCUUGGAUUGUAAACCUCUUUUAUCAGGGAAGAAAAAAUGACGGUACCUGAUGAAUAAGCAUCGGCUAACUCCGUGCCAGCAGCCGCGGUAAUACGGAGGAUGCAAGCGUUAUCCGGAAUUAUUGGGCGUAAAGCGUCCGUAGGUGGUCAUGCAAGUCUGCCGUUAAAGAAUGGAGCUUAACUCCAUAGGAGCGGUGGAAACUGCAAGACUAGAGUACAGUAGGGGUAGCAGGAAUUCCCAGUGUAGCGGUGAAAUGCGUAGAUAUUGGGAAGAACAUCGGUGGCGAAAGCGUGCUACUGGGCUGAAACUGACACUGAGGGACGAAAGCU
rnacentral:rRNA from 1 species